GUAGGUGGCAAGCGUUGUCCGGAAUUAUUGGGCGUAAAGCGCGCGCAGGUGGUUCUUUAAGUCUGAUGUGAAAGCCCCCGGCUCAACCGGGGAGGGUCAUUGGAAACUGGGGAACUUGAGUGCAGGAGAGGAAAGUGGAAUUCCACGUGUAGCGGUGAAAUGCGUAGAUAUGUGGAGGAACGCCAGUGGCGAAGGCGACUUUCUGGCCUGUAACUGACACUGAGGCGCGAAAGCGUGGGGAGCAAACAGGGAUUAGAUACCCUGGUAGUCCACGCCGUAAACGAUGAGUGCUAAGUGUUGGGGGGGGUUUUCCCCGCCCCCUCAGUGCUGCAGCUAACGCAUUAAGCACUCCGCCUGGGGAGUACGGUCGCAAGACUG
rnacentral:rRNA from 1 species